CUGUGGUGAGGUAGUAAGUUGUGUUGUUGUGGGGUGUGGGAUAUUAUGGCCCCUAUUUUGGAGAUACAACUAUACAACUUACUGCCUUCCACAA